CCUACGGGUGGCAGCAGUGAGGAAUAUUGGUCAAUGGGCUGACGCCUGAACCAGCCAAGUCGCGUGAGGGAAUACUGCCCUAUGGGUCGUAAACCUCUUUUGCCAGGGAGCAAGGCCGGCGACGUGUCCCGGCACGGAGAGUACCCGGAGAAAAAGCAUCGGCUAACUCCGUGCCAGCAGCCGCGGUAAUACGGAGGAUGCGAGCGUUAUCCGGAUUUAUUGGGUUUAAAGGGUGCGUAGGCGGGAUUUUAAGUCAGCGGUAAAAUGUCGGGGCUCAACCCCGUUCCGCCGUUGAAACUGGUGGUCUUGAGUGGGCGAGAAGAAUGCGGAAUGCGUGGUGUAGCGGUGAAAUGCAUAGAUAUCACGCAGAACCCCGAUUGCGAAGGCAGCCUACCGGCGCCCUACUGACGCUGAGGCACGAAAGUGCGGGUAUCGAACAGGAUUAGAUACCCUUGUAGUC
rnacentral:rRNA from 1 species